rfam:Firmicutes bacterium CAG:95 genomic scaffold, scf268
UGAUAUCCGGAUCAAUAGGUCAAAAAAGUUGUUCGCGCUUGCACGAUAAGACUUUUAAACUUGGAACCCGCCAAAUAUGAGAAAGUAACGAUUUACGUAGUAAAUCAGAGGAUUUUGAAUGUUUGAGAAUUGCGGGAGCGGCUUCGCAGCGGAACAAUUCAUGGAUAUCA